UAUUUCCAUUGUUAUUCAACUUUUAGGUGGAGUUUGAAGGAGAGGCAGGAAAAGCCAAUGAUAUGAUCUCGUUCCUCUGCUUAUGAAAAACUUCAGCAGCUGUUUUCUCCUGAGCUCACAUUCCCCUUUCUUGAAUGUUCAAUAUUUAGAGAUAUCCAGAUGCUGGGUUUUCGGGGAGAAAUUAAGAAAAACUACUUCGAAGAGUCUCAGUUGGGGAAAAAGUUUGGAGAUGAGAAAACUACAGGAAAUGAGACCAUUUCAAAAGAUGUAAAAUCAUUUCCCUGCUGGUGUUGAACCUCUAACACACGGAGGGUCAGCUGUGUCGGACCAGGAAUGAAAACAAUCAUCUCGCGCGGGACCACUUCUCUCAUCUGACAUUUAUUUAACACUGGGGCUCAAAGAAAACAAAAUACCAUCCGAAUGCAAUGACUCACAGUCACAGACACAGGUGGCCACAAAAUCUUCACAAACAUCUUUAAAGAUCACGAGAACAGUAAAUCUGACGAAUCACGUCAUCGCACUCGCUGAGAAGAAAAGAAAACAAAUAAAUAUCUUCUUCAAACAUCUUACCUCCUUC